rnacentral:rRNA from 1 species
UAGAGUUUGAUCAUGGCUCAGGACGAACGCUGGCGGCGUGCUUAACACAUGCAAGUCGAACGAUGAACCUGGAGCUUGCUCUAGGGAAUUAGUGGCGAACGGGUGAGUAACACGUGAGUAACCUGCCCUUGACUCUGGGAUAACCUCCGGAAACGGAAGCUAAUACCGGAUAUGACGCACGGAGGCAUCUCCUGUGCGUGGAAAGAACUUCGGUCAAGGAUGGACUCGCGGCCUAUCAGGUAGUUGGUGAGGUAACGGCUCACCAAGCCUACGACGGGUAGCCGGCCUGAGAGGGUGACCGGCCACACUGGGACUGAGACACGGCCCAGACUCCUACGGGAGGCAGCAGUGGGGAAUAUUGCACAAUGGGCGCAAGCCUGAUGCAGCAACGCCGCGUGAGGGACGACGGCCUUCGGGUUGUAAACCUCUUUUAGUAGGGAAGAAGCGAAAGUGACGGUACCUGCAGAAAAAGCACCGGCUAACUACGUGCCAGCAGCCGCGGUAAUGCGUAGGGUGCGAGCGUUGUCCGGAAUUAUUGGGCGUAAAGAGCUCGUAGGCGGUCUGUCGCGUCUGCUGUGAAAACCCGAGGCUCAACCUCGGGCCUGCAGUGGGUACGGGCAGACUAGAGUGCGGUAGGGGAGAAUGGAAUUCCUGGUGUAGCGGUGGAAUGCGCAGAUAUCAGGAGGAACACCGAUGGCGAAGGC